UCACCUGUAGUGUGACUGGAUCAGAAAUGUAACGACUAUUUUUACUUACAACUAACUGUUUGCUUGUCACAGCUAAGUCCGAAUCUAAGCAAUGAGAAGGGAAUUCAAAACCCCAAUUUAACAUCUUAGAUGAUCAAGACCAAAAGCAUGGUUGUUUUCAGUGGAGCAGCAAUUGAGAUAUAACAUGGAAGAAUAGAGAGAGUCCUGGUUCCCGGAUACCUCGACACAUAUUUUAGCUAUCAAAAGUAUAGGAACUGGAAACGUUUGAUAACUGACCUUGGUUCCUCUCUUGGGUCCAAUAGGUGGUGGCUUAGGUUUUGGAGCUUCAGCUACAGCUGGUUCUGUGGUGGCAGCAGGUGGUGAUGCACCCUCUUCAGCUGACCUUACGACAAGCCUCGAAUAGUUCUUGUUGUUGUUCUUUGAAGAGAAAAACAACAUGGUGGGCUUAGAAGUUGAGUUUGUAUUGGUUGCAACAGUUGGUGCCAACGCAAAUCCUGAUGCAGCUGAUGCCAUGUUGCAGCUAGCCAUGUUGUCUGUGCGCCUGUCUCUCUUU